AGAGUUUGAUCCUGGCUCAGGAUGAACGCUGGCGGCGUGCCUAACACAUGCAAGUCGAACGGAACUGCAUUUGAAGAUUUCUUCGGAAUGAUCGUUGUAGUUUAGUGGCGGACGGGUGAGUAACGCGUGAGUAACCUGCCCUUGAGAGGGGGAUAACGUUCUGAAAAGGACGCUAAUACCGCAUAACAUUAUCUUAUCGCAUGGUAGGAUAAUCAAAAACUGAGGUGCUCAAGGAUGGACUCGCGUCCGAUUAGAUAGUUGGCGGGGUAACGGCCCCACCAAGUCGACGAUCGGUAGCCGGACUGAGAGGUUGAACGGCCACAUUGGGACUGAGACACGGCCCAGACUCCUACGGGAGGCAGCAGUGGGGGAUAUUGCGCAAUGGGGGAAACCCUGACGCAGCAACGCCGCGUGGAUGAAGACGGUUUUCGGAUUGUAAAGUCCUUUUCUGAGGGACGAAUUCUGACGGUACCUCAGGAAUAAGCUCCGGCUAACUACGUGCC
rnacentral:rRNA from 1 species